rnacentral:rRNA from 1 species
CCUACGGGUGGCAGCAGUGAGGAAUAUUGGUCAAUGGCCGGAAGGCUGAACCAGCCAAGCCGCGUGAAGGACGAAGGUGCCAAGCAUUGUAAACUUCUUUUGUCAAGGGACAAAAUCAGGCUCGAGAGCAUGACCGAGGGUACUUGAAGAAAAAGCAUCGGCUAACUACGUGCCAGCAGCCCGGGUAAUACGGGGGUUGCGAGCGUUAUCCGGAUUGAUUGGGUUUAAAGGGUGCGUAGGCGGACUGUUAAGUCAGCGGUAAAAGCCCGGGGCUCAACCCCGGAGAGCCGUUGAAACUGGCUGUCUUGAGAUGUCGAGAGGUAUGCGGAAUGCGCAGUGUAGCGGUGAAAUGCUUAGAUAUUGCGCAGAACUCCGAUUGCGAAGGCAGCAUACCGGCGGCGAUCUGACGCUGAGGCACGAAAGCGUGGGUAUCGAACAGGAUUAGAUACCCCAGUAGUC